ensembl:lncRNA
GGCAGGAAACAUUCGCCCUCCUCCUGCCCGACCUGCCCCCAUCCGCCCGUAUCCAGCCCCGCCGACCCCCGGCUCCUACCCCCCCCCCCCCCGCUAUAUUUUAAUACCGGUUUUCGUUGGCGGGACACCCCACCACCCCCCCCUUGCCCUUCUUUUUCGGUUUGAGAUGCGAGCCGGGAAGGAGCGAGGCUCCGGGGGCCGUUCUUUGAAAGCAUCAGGGCGUUAAUGCAGCUUUAAACGUUAAGUCGCUCGAUUAAUUGUUUUCUUACGUCCAGUCUAAGGGCGAUCGGCUCCUUCCCGCGCCGUCGCGGUCGCUGCUGGGGCUGCCGUGCCCAGGAGGGCGAGCCCCAGGUUUGCUGCUCGCUGGGGGCAGGCGGAGGUUUCCUCUCCUUCAAAUUGCCGCGAUGAAGUUAGCAAAAAUUACCGGCGAUGCCGUUUGCACUGCACCUAACCUAAAUAAACCCGCGACAGUUAUCGUGUUUUAAUGAACCCCUCGCAACCAGCAACUGCUGGAAGGAAAGUUGCAGCUACAGCACGAGUUCCAAAGGCAGCCACAAGCCAUGGCUGUGAGGAUUGCUCACCAAAAGCCCUUCAGAGAACUGAGAAACUCGGAGUGCUAAUGCCCUUAUGGGAGGCCAAGCGAUGGGAAUUGCUGAUGGAGUCCAUGGGCAACGAACGUGUGUUAAGUUGUAAACAAGCAUGAAUAUUUAUUAUGCUUCUGUAGUAUAUUCAGCUGAGAACUUGCCUUAUGUAUCACUAGAGGAUUUGGCUCAGGGUCUGUGUUCUUUAUUUCCAUAUGUUCACAUUUGAGCAUGCAGGUGAAACCGACUACAGCUUUGGCUAGCAGAGAUUGAAAAAUCAUUGAGCCUUGCCUCAGCUCUGUGUGUGUGUCCCAUGCUUGCUGCAAAUGAUUAUGAUGCUGCAGAGCUUGUCCUUUUCCAGGUGAAGCCAGUUAGUUGAGAAGAGUGGUAACUUCCCGAACAACAAACGUGCAGUCGAUAUGUUUGGGUUUCCCAGAUAACCCUUUCCACUAGCUCCCUCGGUAGAAACCGUCAUCUUGUGUGUUCAGAAAUAUUUUAAUUGGGCAGAAAUUCCCAGAUGCAUGUCUCUAGGCAUACCUGACACCCCUGCCUUCCUCAGUGACAGCUGUUUGCUUUCCAGCUAACCGGCUGAAGAGGGGAAUUCUGCCCAUCCACGCUUCAAACGGCUCCAAAGGGUUCAUGAGGCUACCUAUACGCUGCGGAAGGUCCUUUUUGCUGACAGGAUCCACUGUAUUUGUGCCAAAGCUCCUGAAGCUCGUUUGCAGCUUAGACCCUCCCUGAGCUUGUAAAAGGCCAUAAGCAAUUCACUGUCCCUGAACAGUGCGUCCUUAUUCCCCAGCUGUCAUCCUCAUACUUGAGCACCUCUGUCUUCCUAAAUCAAAGUCCUCCUUUUCUUGUCCCUCCACCACUGUUGAAGGAAUGAAACAUUUUGAGGCUUCCUCUGAUUAUGGAUGUUUUUUGUCCUAAUUGUGAAAAAUGCUGAAAUAAAGCUAAAGGGAAUAUGCCAGUACUGUACUCCGUUCUGAAACAUUAGCUGCUGGAGCACUUGUGUGCUCAACUACACAGCAGAUAGCACUUUUGUGCAUUUUUCUGCUUACUGCAUUGACUGGAUGAUUUUUGAUCCAAUUAACUUGUUCUGCUAUAAAAAAAAAA